AGGCUAUAUAUGAAUCCUUUGCAGUUGUGUAUACCAAUGAUGCUGAAAUUGAAGACCAGUUGAGAUUUCUGUUUCAACUGGUAGCGGCCAGACAACCGUAGGGAUGCGGUAUCCACAGAUAACGGGUUUAAUUCAGUCCCGAUUUGUCUACUAACUCCAUCUCACAUUU